GAUGAACGCUGGCGGCGCGCCUAACACAUGCAAGUCGAACGGUUAAAGCACCUUUUAGGUGUGUAUAAAGUGGCGAACGGCUGAGUAACACGUGGGCAACCUGCCCUCCUCUUGGGGAUAGCCUCGGGAAACCGAGGAUAAUACCCGAUACUUCAAUGUGGCCGCAUGACGACAUUGAGAAAGCUUUUGCGGAGAAGGAUGGGCCCGCGGCCUGUUAGCUUGUUGGUGGGGUAGAGGCCUACCAAGGCAAUGAUGGGUAGCUGGGUUGAGAGACCGACCAGCCAGAUUGGGACUGAGACACGGCCCAGACUCCUACGGGAGGCAGCAGUGGGGAAUCUUGCACAAUGGGCGAAAGCCUGAUGCAGCGACGCCGCGUGCGGGACGAAGGCCUUCGGGUUGUAAACCGCUUUUCAGCAGGGACGAGGCGAAAGUGACGGUACCUGCAGAAGAAGCCC
rnacentral:rRNA from 2 species